ensembl:lncRNA
AAGGGGGGGUCUACGGUUUUAAACCGGUUUGAUAUAAAAGAGAAGAGAAUCGUCAAUCGUUUGCUGCUAUCUCAAAGCAAAAGAGGGUUCAUUCAUUGCCUCUACUGAACCCUGACCCUAACCCCCACUCCAACCCUGACCCUAACCCCAGCCCAGGGGUCAGGGUUAACCCAAGCCUUCAGGGUCCCAAGAUGGGGGGGGAGGGGGGGGGGGGACAGUAGACUAUCAACAUUCAUUCGGCUACAGUUCUUGAUUGGACUGUGUGGUGUUCAUGUUCUGCUAGACAAGUCAUACUCUGGGACAUUAACAACAACAAAAGCUCAACUCAACAGCACCUCCCCUGGUUCGCCUCCACCAGGACACCUGUUCAUUCUGUCUUAAUGAUCACCAGCAGCCUUCCUCUUUACUUUCUUCACUUGUAAAAAGACUUCUGACUCUGGUUUUAUACACCGCAUAUGAAUUCCUCUUCUGGUCACAUUACUGAAUAAUCUGCUUUGUUCUCCUUCAGCCCUCCCGGAGGUCCAGGUCAUGGCCACUCUAGACCGUGACCUGGACCCAGAGCGCUCCAGUUGAGCCCUUCAGAACCAAACUCGGCUCCAGCCUUGUGACUAACCAAUCAACAAAUGAAGUAGUAUUAGUUCAGUCUUCGGUUACUCUUUAAAGGACCAAACAUAACAACCUUUUAAGUCAAUAAAUGCAUAUAGAAAUGUGUGAAAGAAAUUAAGAAAUAUCUGAAUACAUGUCAGAAGUGAAAAGUUGUUCUCAUGAUCUGAUGGUUUCUGUAUUUUUUUUACUCCCAAUUAUAGCAAUUAUUCGAGUAUGUUUCGCUCAGUAUUCUGUGUGUUUACCAGCCCUAUUUCUUUGUUUCCACACUCUGUAUAUUUGCAUUCAUUCAUUUCCAUAGCUCUUUGUGACGCAUAAGAGAGAAGCCAGUGAUGAGCUCCACUGGAGUCUGUACGCUUAAAGGUUCUUCAGAGGUACCUUCUCCCUAGUGGAGAAACGGUCUUCUGUAGGAAUCCAAUAGAGCGAGGAAAGCAGAGGUCUGCACAUGAACGUCCGUUCAGCAAAUGGACUCAUCGCUGGUUUACUGACCAGCAGAAAUCUGCUUCCACCGUCACAAAGAAAUACUGAAGUCAAGUGAAGAGCGGACAUACAGCGGGAAUUGAUAAAUAGAUGAAUUCAUUAUCAUAGAAAUACAACCGCCAAUGAGUUAAAACAACAUUUAUUUUACAUAAUUAAAUUGGACAAAACAAUUACAAAAAAUAUAGAGAAUUUAGGAAGAAAAAAGCAUUUGCAAUCACAUGUUUUAUUAAUUUCUUAAUUUAAAAAGCACAUGUAUUUAUUAAUUAAAUAUUGUUUUCAUUUGGUUCCUUCAUAUGAACAUGCUUAGAUAUGGUCCAGAUUCAGGUGUUUAGGGGGAAUGUUUCUUUAUACGUGGUUAAUGCCUUUGUCAUUGAACUUGAUUCUCAAGCGAGAUGACAUUUUAAUAGAAUAUAAAAUAGUAUUUUUUUGUUGAAUUUUCUACUCACUUAAAAGGGCCAAUACUCUAUAAGACUGGUCAGUUCCCCAAAGAAAAUCCACUUUAAUUGAAAGGUAGAAGUAAUUAGCUAUGCCCACAACGUGAAGAAGAUUACCACCCAAAUUCUUAUCUGGUUCUUUGUCUGCUGUAAGCGUUAAAUAUCUGUGCCCUUCUGUGACUCAAACCUAGGUAGGAAAUGCUAGCAUUUUGUCAUCUGUAUAGUGACCAAGGCCGCCUGUAGUCUUUCAUUACUUCUCAACGCAAGCAGAUGCAGACUACGUGGACAAAGUGUACCACUAGUGCUCCCCUCGCUCUUAGCGUCACAAUAGGUCCUGGAGCAGCUGUGGAUGUAUUGGAACACGUGUCAGUGUCUCCUCCAGCUGAGCCAGGGUUCCACCUCCAAAGGGUGAGGGUUAGAACACAGCACAGCUACAGCACUUGUUGGAUAUGCAAUAACGAUGAACAUAUGCACCCCCAACGGUGUCUUAUGCAAAUCCUCAACCGGCCCUAUAGGAUCCCGCCGGUCAGAUGAUCUACCUAUGCUAACACGAUCCACUCACUGUGACCGUAUCGUCAUGGGGGCAGUGUGAGUCACAACCCGGGGGGAGCAGCUAGGAGACUGGUUAGGAGACCUUUGUGCCCAGUGACAGUAGACACGCCCCAGUUAGGAGACUGGUGCCCAGUGACAGCAGACACGCCCCAGCGCGGUUUUGUGGCUCUCCUAUGGUAUUGAGGAGAACAGGAAGAGCACAAGCUGUAGCCUUGCAAUUCCUGUUCCUGAUUGGAUAUGAAUUAUGUGACAGAAUGAUUACCAAAGUUUGUAUGAAAAGUUUAAUAUCCAAGAAAAAAAUAAGCAAAUGAGAUGCAAUUUUUAAAAUGUGUGUAAAUUAGGUUCAGUGUUGAGGUUUUUAGAGUUGGCUAACUUCUAAGCAGGCUUAGCCAAGGUUGUGUUGAUUGGUUUGGGUCACUGAAGGGCUCUGCAGAGCGACCAGUAUAAACGUCUGCUUCCUUGAGAGGCUGCUUAGCAACCAGACUAACUCCUUUCAUUUGGCAGAACUCGGCUUUUCUUUUCCUAUUCCACCCUGAAGGACAAAACCGCAUGUGAUCGUGUUUCUGUAUUGAAGUCUGCAUCACUUGCUUUAAAGGCUGAAAAUGAACAAACUAAAAGGUCAUCAAAAUGAAAAGAAGAUACCUCCUUUAAGACCAAUGUGUUUUACCUCACUGUAAAUAUUUUCUCAAUUUGUUUACUCCAACUUUGCAAUUUAUACUUUUUUGGUUUGAUUUUUGUUUCUAUGAAAUGCUUAAAAAAUGUAAGAGAAUAAAACUUUUGUCAUGGUACUUAAAUGUCAGAAGGCCUUGUAUUGUGUUUGUGUUCACGCAGUUUGCUGCUUCUGUUCGUACUAAGCUGUCUGUACCGACGGUCUGUACUCAGUCUGUGCUGACGUUCUACUCGUACUGACGGUCUUUAUUCAUUCUGCACUCGACCUGUACUGACGGUCUGAACUCAGUCUGUAUUGACGGUCGGAUAUGACGGUCUGAACUCAGUCUGUAGUGACGGUCUGAACUCAGUCUGUAGUGACGGUCUGAACUCAGUCUGUACUGACGGUGUGUACUGAUGUUCUGUACUCGGUCUGUAAAGUGAGUUCUUGCUGAGUCUCUGCCCCACUGAGUCCCGGUAUAAAUGCCUUGUGUCAAAUGUUCCUUUGUUUAAAAUAAUAAAUACAAAUGAGGCAGGAGGGAAAGUAGAUGCAUUCUCAGCUACUGUGCCCAACCCUUUACUACUUCUACCAUAUUAUAACCUGAACUACACCAUAUAUAGUGUGUUCAGACCGAGGGAAGACAUAGGACAUAGAGGGCCGAUACCUUGUUCAUUUCUGAUCAAGCUGGAGUAGCAAAUGGUUUGAAUAAAGAAGCUAAGAGUUUCAUAAAGAA